UACGAAGGGGGCUAGCGUUGUUCGGAAUUACUGGGCGUAAAGCGCGCGCAGGUGGUCCUUCAAGUCAGGGGUGAAAGCCCAGAGCUCAACUCUGGAACUGCCUUUGAGACUGCAGGACUUGGGUACGGGAGAGGUGAGUGGAAUUCCGAGUGUAGAGGUGAAAUUCGUAGAUAUUCGGAAGAACACCAGUGGCGAAGGCGGCUCACUGGCCCGUUACCGACACUCAGGCGCGAUAGCGUGGGGAGCAAACAGG
rnacentral:rRNA from 1 species